rnacentral:rRNA from 1 species
AACGAACGCUGGCGGCAGGCCUAACACAUGCAAGUCGAGCGGACCUUUCGGGGUCAGCGGCGGACGGGUGAGUAACGCGUGGGAAUAUGCCCUUCUCUACGGAAUAGUCCUGGGAAACUGGGGGUAAUACCGUAUACGCCCUUUGGGGGAAAGAUUUAUCGGGGAAGGAUUAGCCCGCGUUGGAUUAGGUAGUUGGUGGGGAAAUGGCCUACCAAGCCGACGAUCCAUAGCUGGUUUGAGAGGAUGAUCAGCCACACUGGGACUGAGACACGGCCCAGACUCCUACGGGAGGCAGCAGUGGGGAAUCUUAGACAAUGGGGGCAACCCUGAUCUAGCCAUGCCGCGUGAGUGAUGAAGGCCUUAGGGUUGUAAAGCUCUUUCAGCUGGGAAGAUAAUGACGGUACCAGCAGAAGAAGCCCCGGCUAACUCCGUG